rnacentral:rRNA from 1 species
CCUACGGGGGGCAGCAGUGGGGAAUUUUGGACAAUGGGGGCAACCCUGAUCCAGCCAUUCCGCGUGAGUGAAGAAGGCCUUCGGGUUGUAAAGCUCUUUUGUCCGGAGCGAAACGGGCGGCCCUAAUACGGUCGUCUACUGACGGUACCGGAAGAAUAAGCACCGGCUAACUACGUGCCAGCAGCCGCGGUAAUACGUAGGGUGCGAGCGUUAAGCGGAACGACUGGGCGUGAAUUGUGCGCAGGCGGGUGAACUCCCCGGGCUCAACCUGGGAAUGGCAUUUGCGACUGCAAGGCUGGAGUGUGGCAGAGGGGACUAGAAUUCCUGGUGUAGCAGUGAAAUGCGUAGAUAUCAGGAGGAAUACCGAUGGCGAAGGCAGGUCCCUGGGUUAACACUGACGCUCAUGCACGAAAGCGUGGGGAGCAAACAGGAUUAGAUACCCGUGUAGUC